CAUUGCUGUAAUGUGCCAGGUGUACUUGCAAUAAUCAGAGAAAGUACGCCAGAGUCAAAUCACACAGAGGGAGAGAGAGCACAACUCCUGGCUGCAGCUGAAGGAGGACGAUUGAUUUCUGGCAGUUCGUCUUACCAUUGCUUGUAAGCUGGAUUGGGUAAGAUGGAUCAUCUUUAAAGGAACCAGGAGUUAAGGCAGAUGUGGAGGCACAACGGGUGACACCAGACACACCCAAGCACAUUAUGUUCGGACAUUCAAUCAUGACAGGAUCCAGGUGGAUGCUGUCCAUUGAGAAAAGAGUUUGUUCAGCGGUUUCUGGAUAGAAUUAAGUCCAAAGAUGGGAAAAAGUGCACAUCCAGACAAGGAGCAAGCAAAAAGACAAGGAACUUGGUGCAGAGAAAAGCUGUGGCCAUUAACCCCCAUGUGAACAGCUUCAUGCAGUCCCUGAUUGAGUUCGAAUGGACGACUUCAAACUAAAGGCCACUGUGGUCUGUCUGCCACAGUUUAAUGCAUUUAUUUUUAGUGUUAAAUGAAAUUCAAGUAGAAUAUUUAAAACUAUGGGCCAGUGUUCUUUUUACC